CAUUUUCACCUUGUUGGUUGGCCAUAUCAAGUGCGGUGCAGUGCGAUCCUCCUACAACAAAGAGAAGCUCAUCAUUUACAAAACUCUGCAGCAAGACCAGUACUUAUGUGUUGAUGAAACUACAAAAUACCUGUAACUUAUUUGAUUAUGCAUCGUGUGCAUGCUUGUGUGUUGAUGCAACUACAAAAUACACACCAUAGACUGUGCCGGAUCAAAUGGUUCUGUUUUGAUAAUUACCGGAGUCAUGCAAAGGAAAGGAACUAAGCGAGGAGCGCAACUUCUGGUUAUUUGUACUAGUACUUUUCAAGAAGUUAUUCUUGGUA
rnacentral:lncRNA from 1 species